AUCUCAGGCCGUAUCAGCCUGAAGGCGCCCGAUCUCGUCUGAUCUCGGAAGCUAAGCAGGGUCGGGCCUGGUUAGGAUCUUGGAUGGGAGACCACCUGGGAAUCCCGGGUGCUCGAGGCU
rnacentral:rRNA from 1 species